CUUCUUCAGGUAAGAAGCGUGCUGCCUUCUCACGGGGAAGAGCCUGACAAGCCAUAAUACCCACCUCUCCAACAAUAAAGACUGGCCCGUGGAGAAGUCUGGGACGCCAGCGUAACCAGCAAGAGACCUCCCUGCGAUUGCUGUGUGAUGAUGCUGCAUUCCUGCUGGUCAGCUAAGUAGGAACCAGGCUAUGGCUACAGGAGAUAACAGGGUUCAGAGAAGGAAAGAGAUUUGCUGCCAGCUGGCGAGCAGGAACACCAGGACUGGAUCCCAGUGCUCCUGACCCGUGGUCUAGUCCUCUCUCUUUCCCAACAUGCAGCUUCUUAGAAAGCUCCUCCCAGACCUCCUUCUCACAAGCCCACUAAUGACCUGUCUGAGCUGAGAGCAGAUGGUCUGGGAGCAUCGAAUUCUGAAGGCUGAGCUGCCACAAGUCAGACUGUCUUCUU